UACGGGGGGUGCGAGCGUUGUCCGGAAUCACUGGGCGUAAAGGGCGCGUAGGCGGCCCAGCGUGUCUUCCGUGAAAUCCCUCGGCUUAACUGAGGACGUGCGGAAGAAACUGCGGGGCUCGAGUCCGGGAGAGGGGGGUGGAAUUCCCAGUGUAGCGGUGAAAUGCGUAGAUAUUGGGAGGAACACCGGUGGCGAAGGCGGCCCCCUGGACCGGUACUGACGCUGAGGCGCGAAAGCGUGGGUAGCGAACCGG
rnacentral:rRNA from 1 species